UAAAAAGUUACUCAAGCGCACACAAUGGAUGCCUUGACAUAAGAUACCGAUGAAGGACGUAGUAGACUGCGAUAAGCUUCGGGGAGCUGUCAAACAAGCUUUGAACCGAAGAUUUCCGAAUGGGGAAACCCUACUAGGGUCAUGCCUAGUAACUCUUAUCUGAACACAUAGGAUAAGAAGAGGGAACCGGGGGAACUGAAACAUCUUAGUACCUCGAGGAAGAGAAAAUAACCAAUGAUUCUGGGAGUAGUGGCGAGCGAAACUGGAAUAGCCCAAACCUUUAAUACUUCGGAUAUGGGAUUAAGCUUAUGGUCCUAUAAAAGAGAAAAAGACAAGCCCAAGCAAAAAUCGCAUUUUUUGCCUGGCGCGAUAAGAAAAAACCGUAGGUUUUGUCUUAUAUCCGAUAAGUUGGUAGACGAAUGUAUUACAGGGGUUGUGACAUAGUAAACAACUACUACGGAGAGCCUAAAUUAUUUAGGAAAUCCGUAGUGGAAGCAAGUGCUACCACGAACUUGCAUAAGGUCAGAAAUUGCGAAGCGAGCAGAAUAGUCUGGAAAGACUAGCCAAAGACGGUGAUAGCCCGGUAUGUUAAGUAUUCGCAACCUUAUAUUUAUUAUUGUCGAGUAGAACGGGACACGAGAAACCCUGUUUGAAUCUGGGACGACCACGUUCCAAGGCUAAAUAUAUCUUAUGAUCGAUAGUGAACAAGUACCGUGAGGGAAAGGCGAAAAGAACCCCGGGAGGGGAGUGAAAUAGAACCUGAAAUUAUGUGCGUACAAGGAGUCAGAGCCCUUCGGG
rnacentral:rRNA from 1 species